rnacentral:rRNA from 1 species
GUGAAGCGGGAUGAGCUCAAAUUUANAAUCUGGNGGUCUCAGAUCGUCCGAGUUGUAGUCUAGAGAAGCGUUUUCCGUGCUGGCCUGUGUACAAGUCCGUUGGAACACGGCGUCAUAGAGGGUGAGAAUCCCGUCCUUGACACAGAUCUCCAGUGCUUUGUGAUGCGCUCUCAAAAGAGUCGAGUUGUUUGGGAAUGCAGCUCAAAAUGGGUGGUAAAUUCCAUCUAAAGCUAAAUAUUGGCGAGAAACCGAUAGCGAACAAGUACCGUGAGGGAAAGAUGAAAAGCACUUUGGAAAGAGAGUUAAACAGUACGUGAAAUUGUUGAAAGGGAAACGAUUGAAGUCAGUCAUGCUUUCCGAGACUCAGCCGGUUCUGCCGGUGUACUUCUCGGUUUGCAGGCCAGCAUCAGUUUUGGGCGGUGGAAAAGGUUGGCGGGAAUGUGGCAUCCUCGGAUGUGUUAUAGCCCGCUUUCGAAUACAUCGCCCGGGACUGAGGAACGCAGCACGCCUCUUGUAGGUCGGUCUUCGGACACGUCCGUGCUUAGGAUGCUGGCAUAAUGGCUUUAAACGACCCGUCU